CGGCCCGAGGGAGAGGGAACCUUCCCAACCUGGAGUCCCGCCACCGCCGGUGGGCAGAGCCCCAGCCCGCCCUGCUUUUUCCCCGGGAGCUGAACCUCGGCCACAGGCGCCAGCGCGUUUGUCUUGCGCGGCAGUGGGUGCAGCACGUUUGAAUUUAAUCUUAUUUCCCCUGCCCGAGUCAAGAGAAGCGGCGGCUCCAUCGACAGCGGCGACAUUUCGGGUGCACCCGUGUAGGACCAUACUCCGCAGGCUGUCCGGAUCUCCAGGACACUGCUAAGAUCAAUUGCCUGCGCGUAUACCCUCUAAAACACCUAGGGGCUUAGCAGCUGGAAUGUAAUUCAUUCGCCGAAUAGAGCAUAUAAACGUGCAUCUCAAAAAGCAGGCACUGCAGUGCAACAGCCUGAGGUCCAAACUCCUUUGCCACAAACCACGGGCGUGACACUGCGUACACCUUCAUGGAGAAGCGUGGGUUCCAAGGACGGAUUCGGGGCCGUGAUUUCCUAACGUGAGAGGAAAUAUAGAAAACCUUUCCAAACUCAGCCCUCUCCUGAGUCAGCCCUGCUACAAGGGGCCCUCAUGCACCUCUCCCUGACAGCAUCGAGAUCGGGCUGUAUAUAGUCAAGGACUUCCAGAAGCCUUUAGACAAAUUUCAAAAGCAGUGGAUGAAGGAAUCAUGUUGGGACCAGCUGCCACAGCAUAAAACCAGCUCUAGACCUGA